rnacentral:rRNA from 1 species
AGAGUUUGAUCAUGGCUCAGAUUGAACGCUGGCGGCAGGCCUAACACAUGCAAGUCGAGCGGUAGCACAGAGAGCUUGCUCUCGGGUGACGAGCGGCGGACGGGUGAGUAAUGUCUGGGAAACUGCCUGAUGGAGGGGGAUAACUACUGGAAACGGUAGCUAAUACCGCAUAACGUCGCAAGACCAAAGUGGGGGACCUUCGGGCCUCAUGCCAUCAGAUGUGCCCAGAUGGGAUUAGCUAGUAGGUGGGGUAACGGCUCACCUAGGCGACGAUCCCUAGCUGGUCUGAGAGGAUGACCAGCCACACUGGAACUGAGACACGGUCCAGACUCCUACGGGAGGCAGCAGUGGGGAAUAUUGCACAAUGGGCGCAAGCCUGAUGCAGCCAUGCCGCGUGUGUGAAGAAGGCCUUCGGGUUGUAAAGCACUUUCAGCGGGGAGGAAGGCGUUAAGGUUAAUAACCUUGGCGAUUGACGUUACCCGCAGAAGAAGCACCGGCUAACUCCGUGCCAGCAGCCGCGGUAAUACGGAGGGUGCAAGCGUUAAUCGGAAUUACUGGGCGUAAAGCGCACGCAGGCGGUCUGUCAAGUCGGAUGUGAAAUCCCGGGCUCAACCUGGGAACUGCAUUCGAAACUGGCAGGCUAGAGUCUUGUAGAGGGGGGUAGAAUUCCAGGUGUAGCGGUGAAAUGCGUAGAGAUCUGGAGGAAUACCGGUGGCGAAGGCGGCCCCCUGGACAAAGACUGACGCUCAGGUGCGAAAGCGUGGGGAGCAAACAGGAUUAGAUACCCUGGUAGUCCACGCCGUAAACGAUGUCGAUUUGGAGGUUGUGCCCUUGAGGCGUGGCUUCCGGAGCUAACGCGUUAAAUCGACCGCCUGGGGAGUACGGCCGCAAGGUUAAAACUCAAAUGAAUUGACGGGGGCCCGCACAAGCGGUGGAGCAUGUGGUUUAAUUCGAUGCAACGCGAAGAACCUUACCUGGUCUUGACAUCCACAGAACUUAGCAGAGAUGCUUUGGUGCCUUCGGGAACUGUGAGACAGGUGCUGCAUGGCUGUCGUCAGCUCGUGUUGUGAAAUGUUGGGUUAAGUCCCGCAACGAGCGCAACCCUUAUCCUUUGUUGCCAGCGGUUAGGCCGGGAACUCAAAGGAGACUGCCAGUGAUAAACUGGAGGAAGGUGGGGAUGACGUCAAGUCAUCAUGGCCCUUACGACCAGGGCUACACACGUGCUACAAUGGCAUAUACAAAGAGAAGCGACCUCGCGAGAGCAAGCGGACCUCAUAAAGUAUGUCGUAGUCCGGAUUGGAGUCUGCAACUCGACUCCAUGAAGUCGGAAUCGCUAGUAAUCGUAGAUCAGAAUGCUACGGUGAAUACGUUCCCGGGCCUUGUACACACCGCCCGUCACACCAUGGGAGUGGGUUGCAAAAGAAGUAGGUAGCUUAACCUUCGGGAGGGCGCUUACCACUUUGUGAUUCAUGACUGGGGUGAAGUCGUAACAAGGUAACCGUAGGGGAACCUGCGGUUGGAUCACCU